AGAAAUCAAAUGCCUAAAGCAUGUCCAUGCAUCAUGAUUAUAUGUAAUAGGUUGAUUGCACUAGUUCCACGAAUAUGACGCAUUGCAUAAUUUAUUGUUGAUGUGGAUGGACCAAGGCGACCCCAAUAGCCCAUGUUCUGUAUGAAAGACCUGGGUAAGUCCCUUCGUGGGCCAGGCACUAUGUUAUGUAUGAAAGACCUGGGUAAGUCCC
rnacentral:lncRNA from 1 species